ACCGGCGGCUCGAGUGGUAACCGUUAUUAUUGGGUCUAAAGGGUCUGUAGCCGGCCGGAUAAGUCUCUUGAGAAAUCUGGCAGCUUAACUGUCAGGCUUUCAGGAUAUACUGUCUAGCUCGAGACCGGGAGAGGUGAGAGGUACUUCAGGGGUAGGUGUGAAAUCCUGUAAUCCGUGAAGGACCACCAGUGGCGAAGGCGUCUCACCUUUUCGGACCUGACGUCUUUUUACGAAAGCUUGGUUCACGAGCCG
rnacentral:rRNA from 1 species